GUGGAGGGAGAGGACCCCAAGGAGACAGCGGUGGUGAGAAGCAAAUGGAAUGGCGGAAAGGGUCUGGAAAGCGAUACUGAGUACAUGGUGUUGAUAGUGACGGAGAAGAGGGCAGGUCCCUACAGUGAAUACUUCUCGUGUAAGCCCCGGAUUAUGAGGACGGCGAAGCGCCCUAAAGGCCCUUGCUAUUCUGAGGAUGAUCGUGGGCAUGUGUUUUGCUGCAGUGUCCUUCAUUUGCUUCAUCGCAAUGCUUGUGGUGAAAUGCAAGGAGCUAAGAUCCCUUGUUCUGACAGAAGCAGCAGCUUCAGGACAAGGGUCAUUGUAACCCAGUCGACAAGGAAGAUAAGGCAUGAGAGGAUCACAACAGUUACUAAGACCCGUAUUUAGAAACACUUUGCUUUUUCACAACGACUGAGGUACAGUCAAAGAGGACUACGAUAUGUUAAGACAAGUAGAGUCCACCUGCCAGAUACUAUAUUAUAAUUUAGGGAAUAGAUCUUUCGUAUUAGACAGCCAAUAUACUCAAUAAUUUUGCUUUUUUUUAUAUCUCUGUCCCUUUAUUACUGAGAUAAUGAAUAAAAUGUUCAGAAACUAUAUUCUCAGUUUACUUUAACAGUGUUGUAGC